rnacentral:rRNA from 1 species
GACGUAGGGUGCAAGCGUUGUCCGGAUUUAUUGGGCGUAAAGAGCUCGUAGGCGGCUUGUUGCGUCGACUGUGAAAACCCGCGGCUUAACCGCGGGCUUGCAGUGGGUACGGGCAGACUAGAGUGUGGUAGGGGAGGACUGGAAUUCCUGGUGUAGCGGUGAAAUGCGCAGAUAUCAGGAGGAACACCGAUGGCGAAGGCAGGUCUCUGGGCCACUACUGACGCUGAGAAGCGAAAGCAUGGGGAGCGAACAGG